UUAGCCUUAAAAUGACCAUAUCUUUCACAAGUGUAAGCAUGCAACUUGACGUACCUUUUUCUGAUUUUGUUGUGGCUUGAAUCCCUUAAAUUUUCCUUUAGUGGGACCCAACUUCAAUUGAUUCUGAAUUUUGUUUUGAUUCUUGUGCCUAAAAUGUGUUUUUAGCUCUUCUUCUUGAACCAAGUUUAACUUGGUUCCCUUUGG
rnacentral:lncRNA from 1 species